rnacentral:rRNA from 1 species
AAAUUGAAGAGUUUGAUCAUGGCUCAGAUUGAACGCUGGCGGCAGGCCUAACACAUGCAAGUCGAACGGUAACAGGAAGCAGCUUGCUGCUUUGCUGACGAGUGGCGGACGGGUGAGUAAUGUCUGGGAAACUGCCUGAUGGAGGGGGAUAACUACUGGAAACGGUAGCUAAUACCGCAUAACGUCGCAAGACCAAAGAGGGGGACCUUAGGGCCUCUUGCCAUCGGAUGUGCCCAGAUGGGAUUAGCUAGUAGGUGGGGUAACGGCUCACCUAGGCGACGAUCCCUAGCUGGUCUGAGAGGAUGACCAGCCACACUGGAACUGAGACACGGUCCAGACUCCUACGGGAGGCAGCAGUGGGGAAUAUUGCACAAUGGGCGCAAGCCUGAUGCAGCCAUGCCGCGUGUAUGAAGAAGGCCUUCGGGUUGUAAAGUACUUUCAGCGGGGAGGAAGGGAGUAAAGUUAAUACCUUUGCUCAUUGACGUUACCCGCAGAAGAAGCACCGGCUAACUCCGUGCCAGCAGCCGCGGUAAUACGGAGGGUGCAAGCGUUAAUCGGAAUUACUGGGCGUAAAGCGCACGCAGGCGGUUUGUUAAGUCAGAUGUGAAAUCCCCGGGCUCAACCUGGGAACUGCAUCUGAUACUGGCAAGCUUGAGUCUCGUAGAGGGGGGUAGAAUUCCAGGUGUAGCGGUGAAAUGCGUAGAGAUCUGGAGGAAUACCGGUGGCGAAGGCGGCCCCCUGGACGAAGACUGACGCUCAGGUGCGAAAGCGUGGGGAGCAAACAGGAUUAGAUACCCUGGUAGUCCACGCCGUAAACGAUGUCGACUUGGAGGUUGUGCCCUUGAGGCGUGGCUUCCGGAGCUAACGCGUUAAGUCGACCGCCUGGGGAGUACGGCCGCAAGGUUAAAACUCAAAUGAAUUGACGGGGGCCCGCACAAGCGGUGGAGCAUGUGGUUUAAUUCGAUGCAACGCGAAGAACCUUACCUGGUCUUGACAUCCACAGAACUUUCCAGAGAUGGAUUGGUGCCUUCGGGAACUGUGAGACAGGUGCUGCAUGGCUGUCGUCAGCUCGUGUUGUGAAAUGUUGGGUUAAGUCCCGCAACGAGCGCAACCCUUAUCCUUUGUUGCCAGCGGUCCGGCCGGGAACUCAAAGGAGACUGCCAGUGAUAAACUGGAGGAAGGUGGGGAUGACGUCAAGUCAUCAUGGCCCUUACGACCAGGGCUACACACGUGCUACAAUGGCGCAUACAAAGAGAAGCGACCUCGCGAGAGCAAGCGGACCUCAUAAAGUGCGUCGUAGUCCGGAUUGGAGUCUGCAACUCGACUCCAUGAAGUCGGAAUCGCUAGUAAUCGUGGAUCAGAAUGCCACGGUGAAUACGUUCCCGGGCCUUGUACACACCGCCCGUCACACCAUGGGAGUGGGUUGCAAAAGAAGUAGGUAGCUUAACCUUCGGGAGGGCGCUUACCACUUUGUGAUUCAUGACUGGGGUGAAGUCGUAACAAGGUAACCGUAGGGGAACCUGCGGUUGGAUCACCUCCUUACCUUAAAGAAGC